ACAUGAGUAGGAAUGGUAGCAUAUUUUACAUAGUAUGUAGCUGACAAGAUAACGUACAUUAACAGUUUCUCUGUAACAGUACAUAUUUUUGAGUUUGUUUUAUUUUUAAUUAUCCAUUUUUUAAAUUCAUCAUUUCCUUCCACACUUUCAGUAUCAAAUUUAUAAUUUGUGGCUACAAUUAAUGGCAGUCAAUCAAUCAGUCCUUUUUCCUGAAAGCCACAAAAAUGUUGACAAAAUUAAAUCAAAACAUAUUUACAUUACAACAAACCUUUUGUUAUCUGAAUUAGUCUUUCCACUUGUUUAUCUCGAGUGUAGUGUAUCAAAUUAUGCAUGCUUUUAUCUAGUUGUUUCACCUUUUUCCUUCUAGAUAUGCAUACUUAAUAAUACUGUGCAUACUCUCCAAGUACAUAUUUGUAUUUAUUAGUAAUUCCUUUCUAUAACAGUAGAACCCGGACUUAGUAUUCGAACUAUAAUUUUUACUCAGGUACUCAUAAAAUUUAACAGUACCAGAAUCAUUCUCCAGUUGGAAAAUUCAACAAAUCUUUUUAAAAGUUGUUAACUUCUAAAGUACUUUGUAUAAAUUUCAAGCACUUAUAUACAUACUUCCAUUCUUUUAUCAACUACAGAAAUUUUUGCUAGAUUAGUUUUCCAGGCACAAUCAAUGUGCCAGGAACAAAAUAAUCGAUUCCCAUACAGCACAGGUCAUCUUUAAGAUAUCUUAUUUACAACCAAAUAUGGUCUUAAUGUCUUAGGUCUCAAUUAAGACUUUUAAAAGAUAUCUUUAAAACGCCAAAUUUAAGAUAUCUUUAAAACGCCAAAUUUAAGAUAUCUUUUAGACAUCAUAUUUAAGACAUUUUUUCUUAAAAAUAGGUUAUGUUAUAAUUACGAAUUUAAAAGUUAGGUUAGGUUAGUAAAACAUUUAAGACAAGAGCUGGUAGCAAAAAGACAAACUCCAAACAAAAGCUUUUUCACAUCAGUGACUUCAGUGGUAUUUCCCAUAUGGUUGUAUUUGAGGGAUAUUUAGAAGACUACAGAUUUUAAUAAUGCAGUAAGUUUAGAUUUAGAUUGUUAUAUUAUUAAAGUAAAAAGUUAACUUUGUUAUCAAGAGUAAAUGCAUGUCUCCUAAUUCAACAGCUUACCUUAACAAUAUGCUCUUAAAAAUAUAUUUUUUAGGUAGGUAUCGGAGCUUGUUAAAGUAGGAGGAUCAAAAGCCUAUAAUUUUGUAUAGAGUUGGAAAAUUAAUUAUUAGCAAUGAGCAAGCUUUAAGUACAGUUGGCUGGGACAGAAAGGCAAACAAAAGUUUUAUGAUACUAGAAUUGCAAAUCUGACAAUUGGUAAAGCUUAUUCUACAUGUACAUGUAAAAUUUUAAUAGCAAUAAACGUAUUUUUAGAACAUAAUUAUUUUUAUUAAGAGUUCAUUUAAAAUAUUUCAUAAAAAAUUAAAAAGAAAGAUAUCCUAAACACCUUAAUAAUAUACAAAAAAAGACAUCUUUAAGAUGUAAGGAUUUGUAACAUCCGUACAUCUUUAAGACGUCGUAAAGAUAUCUUUCCGGAAAUACCAGACAUCUUUAAGACGUCUAAAACGUCUUUAGUGAGUUAUCUUUUAGAUUUCUUUAAGAUGUCUUUGUGCUAUCUGGGUUAGACACAGGCCCUAUCACUGCUGUCCAUCCGUUAUAAAAAGUUUCCAUUAUAUCUCUCAUAAACAUAUCUGUAGUGAUAUUAUUAGGUACCUAGUGCGGUUUUAAUACAGUCAAAAAAUAUUUUAGAAAUUGUAGUAUUCAUUCUAUUCGAAAUCAUGUAUGUCACAGCAACGCCUUCACCGAAGUCAUCGCUAACCAUCAAAGUGGUUAACUCAAAAUUAUAUGGAUUAGUUCCAUAGGUACCAUCAAUACAAACAAUUUUUUUUGCAAAUGUCAUGACAGCAUAACAUUGUACAUAUAUCAUUCAUAAUGAUAAUGCAGAAAUCUGAGCAAUCUAAAUUAUGCUGACUAUCCUCAGAGCCUUGAGGUCUGUAGUAUAAUACACUGGCUACACACUACGUUUUGCCUGAGACCAUGUCUGCAGAGACUCAUUUGCGCAGGAUUUCUCUGACACAGUUUCCAGUACAGAACUGCCACAGGAAUCUCCAGUGGAGUUGCAACCGCUCUCACGGACGUCCACAAAUCAAGUUACAAAACUGUUACAUGACUCUCUAUUGGAGUUGCAACCGCAAUUGGAUAAAAGUGAAAUUCGAAUAAUGCCAGAAAUACUAUAACCGUCCAAAGUGAUAGUGUGAAAUUAGAAUCAAAUGAUUAUGUAUAAAUCAUAUUGAUAAUAAUUAUAAAUAGUAGCUGUAUUUUUUAAAUAAACAGAUUUGAUAAGUUA
rnacentral:lncRNA from 1 species